rnacentral:rRNA from 1 species
AGUGAACGCUGGCGGUAGGCCUAACACAUGCAAGUCGAACGGCAGCACAGGAGAGCUUGCUCUCUGGGUGGCGAGUGGCGGACGGGUGAGGAAUACAUCGGAAUCUACUUUUUCGUGGGGGAUAACGUAGGGAAACUUACGCUAAUACCGCAUACGACCUACGGGUGAAAGCAGGGGACCUUCGGGCCUUGCGCGAUUGAAUGAGCCGAUGUCGGAUUAGCUAGUUGGCGGGGUAAAGGCCCACCAAGGCGACGAUCCGUAGCUGGUCUGAGAGGAUGAACUGCCACAGUGGAACUGAGACACGGUCCAGACUCCUACGGGAGGCAGCAGUGGGGAAUAUUGGACAAUGGGCGCAAGCCUGAUCCAGCCAUACCGCGUGGGUGAAGAAGGCCUUCGGGUUGUAAAGCCCUUUUGUUGGGAAAGAAAUCCAGCUGGCUAAUACCCGGUUGGGAUGACGGUACCCAAAGAAUCAGCACCGGCUAACUUCGUGCCAGCCGCCGCGGUAA